rnacentral:lncRNA from 1 species
AUUCUUCAUUUUUCGCCGGAGCAAAUUCACAACUCAUUUUUUCAUCUUUUCUUUCACUGCAAAUCACAGGCUAACGCAUAUAAGGUCAGAUCACGACAGGUAAUCGUUGUUAUUUGUUCAUGUAAAUAAAGCAGUCUAAGUAUGUAUUUGUUAACAUGCCUGUCAACUGUUCGAUCAAAGUCCUCACUGAAAUUUUAACACUGAUGCAACCCAAAAUUUAUCCCUUUGGAUGGAAAUGGUGAUAGUUAGUGCAAAAUUCUUGUUUGGAUUUGUUCUUGAAAUUAUAUUGCAUAGGGAUUUUUAUGCUUUUGUUUGUGUUAUGG